rnacentral:rRNA from 1 species
CGUAGGGUGCAAGCGUUAAUCGGAAUUACUGGGCGUAAAGCGUGCGCAGGGCGGUUUUGUAAGUCUGUCGUGAAAUCCCCCGGGCUCAACCUGGGAAUUGCGAUGGAGACUGCAAGGCUAGAAUCUGGCAGAGGGGGUAGAAUUCCACGUGUAGCAGUGAAAUGCGUAGAGAUGUGGAGGAACACCGAUGGCGAAGGCAGCCCCCUGGGUCAAGAUUGACGCUCAUGCACGAAAGCGUAGGGAGCAAACAGGAUU